rnacentral:rRNA from 1 species
AGAGUUUGAUCCUGGCUCAGGAUGAACGCUAGCGGCAGGCCUAAUACAUGCAAGUCGAGGGGCAGCACGGUAGCAAUACUGGUGGCGACCGGCGCACGGGUGCGUAACACGUAUACAAUCUGCCUCUAACAGGGGGAUAGCCCGGAGAAAUCCGGAUUAAUACCCCAUAACAUCCCGCACGGCAUCGUUCGGGAUUAAAAGCUACGGCGGUUAGAGAUGAGUAUGCGUCUGAUUAGCUAGUAGGUGAGGUAACGGCUCACCUAGGCGACGAUCAGUAGGGGUACUGAGAGGUUACACCCCCACACGGAUACUGAGACACGGAUCCGACUCCUACGGGAGGCAGCAGUAAGGAAUAUUGGACAAUGCCCGCAAGGGUGAUCCAGCCAUGCCGCGUGCAGGAAGACGGCCCUAUGGGUUGUAAACUGCUUUUGCACCAGGGAAAACCCCCUUUCGUGAAAGGGGCUGAUAGUAUGGUGAGAAUAAGCAUCGGCUAACUUCGUGCCAGCAGCCGCGGUAAGACGAAGGAUGCAAGCGUUAUCCGGAUUCAUUGGGUUUAAAGGGAGCGUAGGUGGUCUUAUAAGUCAGUGGUGAAAGCCUCUCGCUUAACGAGAGAACUGCCAUUGAUACUGCCGGACUUGAGUACAGAUGCUGUGGGCGGAAUAUGACAUGUAGUGGUGAAAUACAUAGAGAUGUCAUAGAACACCGAUUGCGAAGGCAGCUCACAAAACUGUAACUGACACUGAGGCUCGAAAGUGCGGGGAUCAAACAGGAUUAGAUACCCUGGUAGUCCGCACUGUAAACGAUGAUUACUCGCUGCUGGGAGGUAACUUUCAGUGGCUUAGCGAAAGCGAUAAGUAAUCCACCUGGGGAGUACGCCGGCAACGGUGAAAC